GCCAGUGUGGCAUAGUGGUUUGAGUGUCAGACUAGGAAUCCAGGAGAUCAGGGUUCGAAUCCCUGCUCAGCCA